rnacentral:piRNA from 1 species
UGGCCGUGACGAUGGACCAAUGAUUCAUU